rnacentral:rRNA from 1 species
GUAGGGGGCAAGCGUUAUCCGGAUUUACUGGGUGUAAAGGGAGCGUAGACGGCAUGGCAAGUCUGAAGUGAAAGCCCGGGGCUCAACCCCCGGACUGCUCUGGAAACUGUGUGACUGGAGUGCAGGAGAGGCAGGCGGAAUUCCUGGUGUAGCGGUGAAAUGCGUAGAUAUCAGGAGGAACACCGGUGGCGAAGGCGGCCUGCUGGACUGUAACUGACGUUGAGGCUCGAAAGCGUGGGGAGCAAACAGGAUUAGAUACCCUGGUAGUCCACGCA